UACGAAGGGGGCUAGCGUUGUUCGGAAUCACUGGGCGUAAAGCGCACGUAGGCGGAUUCUUAAGUCAGGGGUGAAAUCCCGAGGCUCAACCUCGGAACUGCCUUUGAUACUGGGAAUCUUGAGUAUGGUAGAGGUUGGUGGAACAGCAAGUGUAGAGGUGAAAUUCGUAGAUAUUCGGAAGAACACCAGUGGCGAAGGCGGCUCACUGGACCGGUAUUGACGCUGAGGAGCGAAAGCGUGGGGAGCAACAGG
rnacentral:rRNA from 1 species